AGAGUUCGAUCCUGGCUCAGAAUGAACGCUGGCGGCGUGGAUUAGGCAUGCAAGUCGAACGUGAAAGCGAAAUUUAUUUCGCAAGUAAAGUGGCGAACGGGUGAGUAACACGUGGGAAACCUGCCCUGGAGCGGGGGAUAACAUUUCUAACGGAAUGCUAAUACCGCAUAAUAUUUUCUGGCGCAUGUCAGAAAAUCAAAGGUAGCCUCUUCUUGAAAGCUAUCACUUUGGGAUGGUCCCGCGUCCAAUUAGCUUGUUGGUAGGGUAAUGGCCUACCAAGGCGACGAUUGGUAGCCGGCCUGAGAGGGUGACCGGCCACACUGGGACUGAGACACGGCCCAGACUCCUACGGGAGGCAGCAGUCGAGAGGCUUCGGCAAUGGGGGAAACCCUGACCGAGCGACGCCGCGUGGACGAUGAAGUAUUUCGGUACGUAAAGUCCUGUCAUGAGGGAUGAAAAAUUGAUUGGGUAAUACCUUUUCGAUCUGACAGUACCUCAAGAGGAAGCUCCGGCUAACUCCGUGCCAGCAGCCGCGGUAAUACGGGGGGAGCGAGCGUUAUUCGGAUUCAUUGGGCGUAAAGAGUUCGUAGGCGGCCUGAUAAGUCAGGGGUGAAAUCCAACAGCUUAACUGUUGGCCUGCCUUUGAAACUGUUGGGCUUGAGUAUUGGAGAGGAAAGCGGAAUUCUUGGUGUAGCGGUGAAAUGCGUGGAUAUCAAGAGGAACACCUGUGGCGAAAGCGGCUUUCUGGCCAAAUACUGACGCUGAGGAACGAAAGCUAGGGGAGCAAACGGGAUUAGAUACCCCGGUAGUCCUAGCAGUAAACGAUGGGCACUAGGUGUAGGAGGUAUCGACCCCUUCUGUGCCGCAGCUAACGCAUUAAGUGCCCCGCCUGGGGAGUACGAUCGCAAGAUUGAAACUCAAAGGAAUUGACGGGGGCCCGCACAAGCGGUGGAGCAUGUGGUUUAAUUCGAUGAUACGCGAAGAACCUUACCGGGGUUUGACAUGUAAUUGACCGGCAUGGAAACAUGCUUUCUCCUUCGGGAGCAGUUACACAGGUGCUGCAUGGUUGUCGUCAGCUCGUGUCGUGAGAUGUUGGGUUAAGUCCCGCAACGAGCGCAACCCCUAUCCUUAGUUGCCAUCAGGUUAUGCUGGGAACUCUAGGGAGACUGCCGGUGAUAAACCGGAGGAAGGUGGGGAUGACGUCAAAUCCUCAUGGCCCUUACAUCCCGGGCUACACACGUGCUACAAUGGCAGGUACAAAGGGCUGCGAGACCGCGAGGUGGAGCGAAACCCAUAAAACCUGUCUCAGUACGGAUUACAGUCUGCAACUCGACUGUAUGAAGGCGGAAUCGCUAGUAAGCGCGGAUCAGCAGGCCGCGCUGAAUACGUUCCCGGGCCUUGUACACACCGCCCGUCAAGCGAUGGAAGCUGGGGGUACCCGAAGUCGGUGACCUAACCCGUAAGGGAGGGAGCCGCCGAAGGUAAAACUAGUGACUGGCGCUAAGUCGUAACAAGGUA
rnacentral:rRNA from 1 species